GACAGAGGCCCCAAGCGUUAGGCGGAAUCACUGGCUUAAAGCGUGUGUAGGCGGACGCCUAAGUGUCUUGUGAAAUCCCACGGCUCACCCGUGGAACUGCUGGGCAUACUGGGCGUCUUGGGCCAACUAGGGGCAGCCGGAACAAGCGGUGGAGCGGUGAAAUGCGUAGAUAUCGCUUGGAACGCCGAAGGUGAAAACAGGCUGCUGGGGUUGUGCCGACGCUGGAGACACGAAAGCCAGGGGAGCAAACGGG
rnacentral:rRNA from 1 species